UUUAGGUGCUUGCACUUGAAAGAUUUAACAUUGAGACGAGUGGCGAACUGGUGAGUAACACGUGGGUAACCUGCCCUUGAAGUAGGGGAUAACACUUGGAAACAGGUGCUAAUACCGUAUAACAACCAAAACCACCUGGUUUUGGUUUAAAAGACGGCUUCGGCUGUCACUUUAGGAUGGACCCGCGGCGUAUUAGCUUGUUGGUAAGGUAACGGCUUACCAAGGCGAUGAUACGUAGCCGACCUGAGAGGGUAAUCGGCCACAUUGGGACUGAGACACGGCCCAAACUCCUACGGGAGGCAGCAGUAGGGAAUCUUCCACAAUGGACGAAAGUCUGAUGGAGCAACGCCGCGUGAGUGAUGAAGGGUUUCGGCUCGUAAAACUCUGUUGUUGGAGAAGAACAGGUGUCAGAGUAACUGUUGACAUCUUGACGGUAUCCAACCAGAAAGCCACGGCUAACUACGUGCCAGCAGCCGCGGUAAUACGUAGGUGGCAAGCGU
rnacentral:rRNA from 1 species